UAGGGAAUCUUCGGCAAUGGACGAAAGUCUGAUCGAGCAACGCCGCGUGAGUGAAGAAGGUUUUCGGAUCGUAAAACUCUGUUGUUAGAGAAGAACAAGGACGUUAGUAACUGAACGUCACCUGACGGUAUCUAACCAGAAAGCCACGGCUAACUACGUGCCAGCAGCCGCGGUAAUACGUAGGUGGCAAGCGUUGUCCGGAUUUAUUGGGCGUAAAGCGAGCGCAGGCGGUUUCUUAAGUCUGAUGUGAAAGCCCCCGGCUCAACCGGGGGGGGUCAUUGGAAACUGGGAGACUUGAGUGCAGAAGAGGAGAGUGGAAUUCCAUGUGUAGCGGUGAAAUGCGUAGAUAUAUGGAGGAACACCAGUGGCGAAGGCGGCUCUCUGGUCUGUAACUGACGCUGAGGCUCGAAAGCGUGGGGAGCAAACAGG
rnacentral:rRNA from 1 species